AUUGCCUCUACAGAUGCUGCAAAUGUGGCUGCUAUGUCACAGAUGAAUCAGUAGGUGGUUGAGGAGAGGUUGUGUCUACUCUUAGUGUUCUGACCUGUGAACAUCGGAAUGAUAAGUAGCCUAAUAUU